GAUGAAGAGCGUAGCGAAAUGCGAUAAGUAAUGUGAAUUGCAGAAUUCAGUGAAUCAUCGAAUCUUUGAACGCACAUUGCGCCCGCCAGCAUUCUGGCGGGCAUGCCUGUUCGAGCGUCAUUUCAACCCUCGACUUCCCUUUGGGGAAAUCGGCGUUGGGGACCGGCUGUAUACCGCCGGCCCCGAAAUGAAGUGGCGGCCCGUCCGCGGCGACCUCUGCGUAGUAAUCCAACUCGCACCGGAACCCCGACGUGGCCACGCCGUAAAACCCCCGACUUCUGAACGUUGACCUCGGAUCAGGUAGGAAUACCCGCUGAACUUAAGCAUAUCAAUAAGCGGAGGA
rnacentral:misc_RNA from 1 species